rnacentral:rRNA from 1 species
AUUCGUACGAAGGUGUCCUAGUGGCGAACGGGUGAGUAACACGUUGGUGACCUACCCCGAAGCAGGGGAUAACCCCGGGAAACUGGGGCUAAUACCCUAUGUGCUCCAAGGAGUUAGAGGGCCUUGGAGUAAAGGAGCAAUCCACUUUGGGAGGGGCCUGCGGCCCAUCAGCCAGUUGGUAGGGUAAUGGCCUACCAAGGCUAUGACGGGUAGGGGACCUGAGAGGGUGGCCCCCCCACACUGGCACUGAAACACGGGCCAG